rnacentral:rRNA from 1 species
GAUGAACGCUGGCGGCGUGCUUAACACAUGCAAGUCGAACGAUGAAGCCCAGCUUGCUGGGUGGAUUAGUGGCGAACGGGUGAGUAACACGUGAGUAACCUGCCCUUAACUCUGGGAUAAGCCUGGGAAACUGGGUCUAAUACCGGAUAGGAGCGUCCACCGCAUGGUGGGUGUUGGAAAGAUUUAUCGGUUUUGGAUGGACUCGCGGCCUAUCAGCUUGUUGGUGAGGUAAUGGCUCACCAAGGCGACGACGGGUAGCCGGCCUGAGAGGGUGACCGGCCACACUGGGACUGAGACACGGCCCAGACUCCUACGGGAGGCAGCAGUGGGGAAUAUUGCACAAUGGGCGAAAGCCUGAUGCAGCGACGCCGCGUGAGGGAUGACGGCCUUCGGGUUGUAAACCUCUUUCAGUAGGGAAGAAGCGAAAGUGACGGUACCUGUAGAAGAAGCACCGGCUAACUACGUG